AUGAGUCCCUCUUCAGACUUUUGUCACAUUUUGUUAAAGGGCUUUCCAGAAAGUUUGAUCCAGUUGUAUUGUCCCCAAUUGCAAUGUAUAAGAAUGCUGAUCUCCCUGAAUCUCAACAUUGCUGACAUCCAUAGAGAAGAGAAGAGGGUGCUGCCCCUCUACUUCAAGCCACAGGAAGUCACUUCAAGAGGAACUUCAAGGACACCACUCAGAAAGCAUGAUAGCCCCCUGGAGUCUGGGAGACAUGUUAGCCUGAUGUCUGGCUCAUGCCCAGGAAACGUACAGGCUCCUGAAGAGUUAAAUCCAAAAGAGGAAAUGAUCCAGAGCCCUGCUGAGAUCUCUCCACUGUUCAAGAUUCACAAAGUGCAAGACAGAAAAAAAGAAAAAAGAAAAAAAGAAAAGAGAGUGAACGCAAGAUGAUUCCUUUGCUUUUGAAAAAAAAAAUUGACUUUACUUACGAUACUGUCCAGCUAUCUUUUCAAGAACACCAGUGCCCUCCUGACCAUCAUUGUCAUGCUCCACAUUGAUCACAGUUCAGCGCUGCAGGAUAAUUCAACAUCUCUGUAUGUUUCUGGCCAAGGUCUUUGAAACGGUAAAAAUCUCCCUUACGAAAAGGAGAUAGUUUUGAAAAAAGUAUCUAAACAUUUUCUAGGAGAAUAAGAGAAUAAUUUAGUCAUCACUCUUUCCUUUUUUUUUUUCCCCCUUGUUUCCUUUCUUUUUUUUUUUUUUUUUGUUCUCUUUUUUUUCUUUUUUCUUUUCGGUUCUAUCUCAUGCUACUCCUGGACACAUAUAAGUUUAAAUUUCACUUUCCUAACUUUGAGUCUACAUGUAAAUAUCAACUGGUAGACGUAAAAUGUAGAGUGUUCCCCUGACUAGAAUGACAACAAAGAUACUUAUUUCUGCUCAAGAUGAAGAAAGCAUUCUUCAAAUACUUGCUGAAUAUGUCUUUGAUUCAACAGAGAUAAUUAGUUUCAGUUAGUUAAGCUGAGCAACUAUUUGCUUCAAAGAAGAUAUUAUAUUUGCUUAAUUGCAUUUAAGUGCUAAACACUGUAAAGGGUAACAUUUCCUGAAAAUGGGAUCUUUUCCUCUUAACUGGUUACAGGAUAGCUAUGAAACCACCAGAGUCAGGAGCAAUUUACCAGUUUGAAAAUGAUAGAUGUUUUCUGAUUGUUCCCCUGACAUUAAAUAUUAUUCCCCUAACAUUCAAUAGUCCAUAUCCACUUAAUCAAAUUGGAUCUUUAUAUGGACUCAAAAAAAAAAAAAAAAAGACGUACAUGGUUAAUUUCUCAGUCCAAAGUGGAUCUUGGUAAGCAAAAUGACAAUAUCACAAAAAGAAUCAAACAAAACUAUUCUCUAUGGACAUAUGGAUGGAGUCAUUGUAUCACUCUAGAGUGUUUGGGUUUUAAUUAAGAUGCAGAUACAGCAAAUCAUCUGUAGAAAAACUGAUACAGUUUCAUUAGGCCAGAAUAAGUUACCAAGUAGUAAAUACAUUUUUCAAAAAUAAAAUAAAACAAAACCAGUUAUUUUUGCUUCA
rnacentral:lncRNA from 1 species